GACGAACGCUGGCGGCGUGCUUAACACAUGCAAGUCGAACGGACAGGCCCUGCUUUUGUGGGGUUCUCGAGUGGGGAACGGGUGAGUAACACGUGAGUAACCUGCCCUUGUCUUUGGGAUAACUUCAGGAAACUGGGGCUAAUACCGGGUAGGAGCUCCUGCUGCGUGGUGGGGGUUGGAAAGUUUCGGCGGUUGGGGAUGGACUCGCGGCUUAUCCGCUUGUUUGUGGGGUAGUGGCUUACCAGGGCUUUGACGGGUAGCCGGCCUGAGAGGGUGAACGGCCACAUUGGGACUGAGGUACGGCCCAGAAGCCUACGUGAGGCAGCAGUGGGGAAUAUGGCACAAUGGGCGGAAGCCUGAUGCAGCAACGUCGCGUGCGGGAUGACGUCUUUCGGGUUGUAAACCGCUGUCGCCUGUGACGAAGCGUGAGUGACGGUAAUGGGUAAGGAAGCACCGGCUAACUACGUG
rnacentral:rRNA from 1 species